rnacentral:rRNA from 1 species
AACGAACGCUGGCGGCAGGCUUAACACAUGCAAGUCGAGCGCCCCGCAAGGGGAGCGGCAGACGGGUGAGUAACGCGUGGGAAUCUACCCAUCUCUACGGAAUAACGCAUGGAAACGUGUGCUAAUACCGUAUACGUCCUUCGGGAGAAAGAUUUAUCGGAGAUGGAUGAGCCCGCGUUGGAUUAGCUAGUUGGUGGGGUAAAGGCCUACCAAGGCGACGAUCCAUAGCUGGUCUGAGAGGAUGAUCAGCCACACUGGGACUGAGACACGGCCCAGACUCCUACGGGAGGCAGCAGUGGGGAAUAUUGGACAAUGGGCGCAAGCCUGAUCCAGCCAUGCCGCGUGAGCGAUGAAGGCCCUAGGGUUGUAAAGCUCUUUCACCGGUGAAGAUAAUGACGGUAACCGGAGAAGGAGCCCCGGCUAACUUCGUGCCAGCCGCCGCAGUAAGAC